rnacentral:rRNA from 1 species
GAUGAACGCUGGCGGCGUGCCUAAUACAUGCAAGUCGAGCGAACAGAUGAGGAGCUUGCUCCUCUGACGUUAGCGGCGGACGGGUGAGUAACACGUGGAUAACCUACCUAUAAGACUGGGAUAACUUCGGGAAACCGGAGCUAAUACCGGAUAAUAUAUUGAACCGCAUGGUUCAAUAGUGAAAGACGGUUUUGCUGUCACUUAUAGAUGGAUCCGCGCCGCAUUAGCUAGUUGGUAAGGUAACGGCUUACCAAGGCAACGAUGCGUAGCCGACCUGAGAGGGUGAUCGGCCACACUGGAACUGAGACAUGGUCCAGACUCCUACGGGAGGCAGCAGUAGGGAAUCUUCCGCAAUGGGCGAAAGCCUGACGGAGCAACGCCGCGUGAGUGAUGAAGGUCUUCGGAUCGUAAAACUCUGUUAUUAGGGAAGAACAAAUGUGUAAGUAACUAUGCACGUCUUGACGGUACCUAAUCAGAAAGCCACGGCUAACUACGUG